rnacentral:rRNA from 1 species
GAUGAACGCUGGCGGUAUGCUUAACACAUGCAAGUCGAACGGACUCUUCGGAGUUAGUGGCGGACGGGUGAGUAACGCGUGAGAAUCUGGCUUUGGGUUCGGGACAACCACUGGAAACGGUGGCUAAUACCGGAUGUGGCUAGAGGUAAAAGAGAAAUUGCCUGAAGAUGAGCUCGCGUCUGAUUAGCUAGUUGGUGAGGUAAAGGCUCACCAAGGCAGCGAUCAGUAGCUGGUCUGAGAGGAGGACCAGCCACACUGGGACUGAGACACGGCCCAGAAGCCUACGGGAGGCAGCAGUGGGGAAUUUUCCGCAAUGGGCGAAAGCCUGACGGAGCAAUACCGCGUGAGGGAAGAAGGAGUUUGGGGUGUAAAACUCUUUUCUUAGGGAAGAACAAAAUGACGGUACCUAAGGAAUCAGCAUCGGCUAACUCCGUG